UGCGUUUACACUACACGUCGGCAGACCGAAUUUCUGUUUCUGACAACAAGGCCGAACAACUGGAAAGCAAACAAAAAGUAUAACCCAGUUCUAUUGGUUACACUAGAUCCGAACUCAUCGUCCGAGUCGUCAGACCACGUCAGGCACCUGAUGAUGAACUUAAAAUUUUGUUUCUGUUCUGACGGAAAACACAUUCUGAUGAAAAUUUAUCUGGCAGGGAUAAACAAAAAAUAAAAUGGAGGACUUCAGUUUGAACAGAAAGUUGUAGUAUUUGACACAGAGAAGCUGAUUUUUACUUAUCCAAGAGAGAAAAUUAAAGUUCUGAAAUAGCCGAUUAACUCGGAUGUACAAGUGCACAAGCCAAAAACCAAGUGGAAAAACCUACUUGAUAUAUUUAGAAAGGAGGAUAUCAAGAUUAGCAACAAAAGAGUAACUGGCAGUAUAGCUCCAAACAAACCAUGGACAUAUAAUCAAUUAUCCUUUAUGAAUGAUUGUUUCGCUUCCAAGCAAACGUUAAGCAGCAUACAGGUACCUUCAACUUCAAUUCAGUAUCGAGUGAAACCAUUGUUUAAAAGAUAUCUUUUUUUGAUGACACUGAUUCAAAUUGUAGUCAAGUUGUGGAAGAAGCAAUUGCUAAAGAUCCUGACCCAGGAUUACUUAAUUUUGUGUCAUGCCUGAAUAAAAAAAAUUAAUUGAAAAAUG